rnacentral:lncRNA from 1 species
AGAGAAGACAGAAGAGGGGGAGAGAAGAAGGGAAAGAAGACAGAAGAGGGGGAGAGCAGAGGGGACAAAAGAGGGGAGAGAAGACAGAAGAGGGGGAGAGAAGAGGGGAGAGAAGACAAAAGAGAGGGAGAGAAGAGGAGGAGAGAAGAGGGGAGAGAAGACAGAAGAGAGGGAGAGAAGAGGAGGAGAGGAGAGACGAGAAGGAGAGAAGAGAAGAGGAGGAGAGAAGGGGAGAGAAGAGAAGCAGAGAAGACAGAAGAGGGGGAGAGAAGAGAGGAGAGGGAUGUUCCACUGGAGGGAUGGACAGAGAGACAUUGAGAGGGAAGAAGAGAGAGAGAGAGGGAGAGGCAGGGAGGAAGAGAGAGAGACAGAGGGAGGUAAGGAAAUGGGGAAGAAGAGAGGGAGAGAGAGACUAAGUAUUGGUCAGGAUGAAUAAUAGAGGCUACAGUAAUCACAUCACAGAGAGGAUAAGUGUCUGUCUCACUCCCAGAAAACAGACCCUCUUUCUCCCUACCCCUCCCUCCAUCCCAUCUAUCCCUCCACCUCUAACCAACUCUCCCUCUCUCAGUCCCUCCUCCCUUUAUCUCUCCCUCCACACUGGGAGGGAUAAAGGGAGGAGGCAGUGUCAUGCGACUCUAACAUGCAGGAGGGGUGAAGUCAGGCGCAGGAGACUCAGGUACGUGGAAAAAACACGUUUUAAUAAACACAGUCCACGAGUGCCGUAAAUACAAGGCAGGGUAAAAAUCAAGCAACAGGCAAGAACCCUAAACGGAGUCAGGACGCAGCCCAGCAAACCCGUGUGCCUCAAACCGAACGGCAGAGUAAAAACUCAAAUACCCAACCUACAAUACAAUGACACAAAUAAUCCCGCACACUCCCAAACCAAAACAGACAGACUAAAUACCCCCACCAAUAACUAACUCAAAACAGGUGCUAACAUAAAACAGACAUCACCAAAUGAAAAUGAAAAGGAGAUCGGUGGCAGCUAGUAGGCCGGCGACGACGACCGCCGAGCGCCGCCCGAACGGGGAGAGGCGCCACCUUCUGUAGACGUUGUGACAGUACCCCCCCUAUACGUGAGGCUCCCGCAGCGCGCCGAUGCCGGCCUCGAGGACGACCCGGGGGGCGAGGCGCAGGGCGAUCCGGAUGGAGGCUGUGGAACUCCCGCAACAGUGAUGGAUCCAAGAUGUCCUCCACCAGUACCCAGCACCUCUCCUCCGGACCGUACCCCUCCCAGUCCACGAGGUACUGCAGGCCCCCUACCCGACGCCUGGAGUCCAAGAUGGACCGGACUGUGUACGCCAGCGCCCCCCCGAUGUCCAGGGGGGGCGGAGGGAACUCCCGCACCUCAGCGUCCUGCAGAGGACCAGCAACCACUGGCCUGAGGAGAGACACAUGAAACGAGGGGUUAAUACGGUAAUACGAAGGGAGCUGUAACCUAUAACACACCUCGUUUAUUCUCCUCAGGACUUUAAACGGCCCCACAAAUCGCAGACCCAACUUCCGGCAGGGCAGGCGGAGUGGCAGGUUCCGGGUUGAGAGCCAGACCCUGUCCCCCGGGGUAAACACGGGGGCCUCACUGCGGCGGCGGUCAGCGCUCUCCUUGUGCCGUCCAACAGCCCGUUUAAGGGAUUCCUGGACGGCACUCCAGGUCUCCUUAGAGCGCUGUACCCAAUCCUCCACCGCAGGAGCCUCAGUCUGGCUCUGAUGCCAGGGCACCAGGACCGGCUGGUAACCCAACACCACCUGAAAGGGCGACAGGUUAGUAGAGGAGUGGCGGAGAGAGUUCUGCGCCAUCUCAGCCCAUGGCACGAACCACGCCCACUCUCCCGGCCGGUCCUGGCAAUAGGACCGCAGAAACCUG